GUGCUUAACACAUGCAAGUCGAACGCGAAAGGGACUUCGGUCCUGAGUAAAGUGGCGCACGGGUGAGUAACGCGUGGAUAAUCUGCCCUUAUGAUUGGAAUAACAGUUGGAAACGGCUGCUAAUACCGGAUACGCUCAAAAUGAACUUUUUGAGGAAAGAUGGCCUCUGCUUGCAUGCUAUCGCAUAAGGAUGAGUCCGCGUCCCAUUAGCUUGUUGGCGGGGUAACGGCCCACCAAGGCAACGAUGGGUAGCCGAUUUGAGAGGAUGAUCGGCCACACUGGAACUGAAACACGGUCCAGACUCCUACGGGAGGCAGCAGUGGGGAAUAUUGCGCAAUGGGCGAAAGCCUGACGCAGCGACGCCGCGUGAGGGAUGAAGGUUUUCGGAUCGUAAACCUCUGUCAGAAGGGAAGAAACUACGUUGUGCUAAUCAGCAGCGUACUGACGGUACCUUCAAAGGAAGCACCGGCUAACUCCGUGCCAGCAGCCCGCGGUAAUACGGAGGGUGCAAGCGUUAAUCGGAAUUACUGGCGUAAAGCGCACGUAGGCUGUAGUGUAAGUCAGGGUGAAAUCCCACGGCUCACCG
rnacentral:rRNA from 1 species